AGCGAACGCUGGCGGCAGGCUUAACACAUGCAAGUCGAACGGGCGUAGCAAUACGUCAGUGGCAGACGGGUGAGUAACGCGUGGGAACGUACCUUUUGGUUCGGAACAACCCAGGGAAACUUGGGCUAAUACCGGAUAAGCCCUUACGGGGGAAAGAUUUAUCGCCGAAAGAUCGGCCCGCGUCUGAUUAGCUAGUUGGUGAGGUAACGGCUCACCAAGGCGACGAUCAGUAGCUGGUCUGAGAGGANGAUCAGCCACAUUGGGACUGAGACACGGCCCAAACUCCUACGGGGAGGCAGCAGUGGGGAAUAUUGGACAAUGGGCGCAAGCCUGAUCCAGCCAUGCCGCGUGAGUGAUGAAGGCCCUAGGGUUGUAAAGCUCUUUUGUGCGGGAAGAUAAUGACGGUA
rnacentral:rRNA from 1 species